GAUGGACGCUGGCGGCGUGCCUAAUACAUGCAAGUCGAGCGAACGGACGAGAAGCUUGCUUCUCUGAUGUUAGCGGCGGACGGGUGAGUAACACGUGGAUAACCUACCUAUAAGACUGGGAUAACUUCGGGAAACCGGAGCUAAUACCGGAUAAUAUGUUGAACCGCAUGGUUCAACAGUGAAAGACGGUCUUGCUGUCACUUAUAGAUGGAUCCGCGCUGCAUUAGCUAGUUGGUAAGGUAACGGCUUACCAAGGCAACGAUGCAUAGCCGACCUGAGAGGGUGAUCGGCCACACUGGAACUGAGACACGGUCCAGACUCCUACGGGAGGCAGCAGUAGGGAAUCUUCCGCAAUGGGCGAAAGCCUGACGGAGCAACGCCGCGUGAGUGAUGAAGGUCUUCGGAUCGUAAAACUCUGUUAUUAGGGAAGAACAUAUGUGUAAGUAACUGUGCACAUCUUGACGGUACCUAAUCAGAAAGCCACGGCUAACUACGUG
rnacentral:rRNA from 1 species